GGUCGGGUCGGGCCGGGGGGCGAGAGGGUGCCAGCGGCCGCAGCUGAAGUUGGGCCGAGAGCCGGCGACGGCCCCGCGCCGGGGUCGCAGGUGACGCGCGAGGGAUCCCAGGGUACCAGUGUGCGGAGUUCCUGUUGCCAAGCUGAAGGUGGCCCUGGGCAGGCACAGGUGUGGUCAUAUCUUCAGCCAACAGGACCAUCCUCCGGAGGGCCACCUCUGGGGACUUCCUACGGGAAGAGAGUGACAGAUUUGGUGCUUCUGUGUGUUUCUGCCGCUUCAGUGGGGCCGCUGCGGGAGACAGCGGGUGGAUCCUCCAGCAGCCUGUCUGCUGAGCCUGCCUUCUCAAGUCUACUGUUAAAAUCAGGACCGGGUCGUGUCCGAGCCUACAGGCCCUGUCUCCGCUCCCCAGGCCUGCAGGAGUUGAGGGCUGCACCUGCUCGCUGGAGAGGGAGAGGCAGAUUUAGUGGACGCCUGGCAUGGACUCGGACUGGCCUUUGGAAGCUCCCUGCCCUGACGGGGUUGCCUGUCACCACUGCGAAGUGAGGCUUGGCAGGACCUGCACCUGAGAAAGGCUGUGUGUGGUCUUGGGGUCCACACCUGCAGAGCUAACUUACUGCCAGACGGCGACUUACUGUGGGCCACCCUCAGUGAACCGGGGUGUCCUCAGCUGGCCCUACAGAGCACUUCUGUGCUGGGGAUGAGUAGGAACUCUGGGCGAGGAGGGUCCCAGCGCCGCCCCUCGAUACAGCCUGGCUCUGCCCUCUGCCCGUACUUACACCAGGUGGGAUCCCUGCCCUGCAUUGCCUGGGGAUUGGCUGGGCUUGGGCCCGCCCUGCUGUGGAACUGGAUGUUUUCAGGGAGCCCAGCCUUUCCUCAUGUCAACACAGUUCACAAUAUAGUUUUCAAAGUACAGUUUAAAACUCAAAAGUAAACUUUUCAGCAACUCAAAGGUUUGCUGAGUGAUCU
ensembl:lncRNA MIR210HG MIR210 host gene